rnacentral:rRNA from 1 species
GACGAACGCUGGCGGCGUGCUUAACACAUGCAAGUCGAACGGAAAGGCCCUGCUUUUGUGGGGUGCUCGAGUGGCGAACGGGUGAGUAACACGUGAGUAACCUGCCCUUGACUUUGGGAUAACUUCAGGAAACUGGGGCUAAUACCGGAUAGGAGCUCCUGCUGCAUGGUGGGGGUUGGAAAGUUUCGGCGGUUGGGGCUGGACUCGCGGCUUAUCAGCUUGUUGGUGGGGUAGUGGCUUACCAAGGCUUUGACGGGUAGCCGGCCUGAGAGGGUGACCGGCCACAUUGGGACUGAGAUACGGCCCAGACUCCUACGGGAGGCAGCAGUGGGAAAUAUUGCACAAUGGGCGGAAGCCUGAUGCAGCAACGCCGCGUGCGGAAUGACGGCCUUCGGGUUGUAAACCGCUUUCGCCUGUGACGAAGCGUGAGUGACGGUAAUGGGUAAAGAAGCACCGGCUAACUACGUG